rnacentral:rRNA from 1 species
CGGGGAGUGGCAGACGGGUGAGUAACGCGUGGGAACGUACCCUUUUCUACGGAAUAACGCAUGGAAACGUGUGCUAAUACCGUAUACGCCCUUUGGGGGAAAGAUUUAUCGGAGAAGGAUCGGCCCGCGUUGGAUUAGCUAGUUGGUGGGGUAAAGGCCUACCAAGGCGACGAUCCAUAGCUGGUCUGAGAGGAUGAUCAGCCACAUUGGGACUGAGACACGGCCCAAACUCCUACGGGAGGCAGCAGUGGGGAAUAUUGGACAAUGGGCGCAAGCCUGAUCCAGCCAUGCCGCGUGAGUGAUGAAGGCCCUAGGGUUGUAAAGCUCUUUCACCGGUGAAGAUAAUGACGGUAACCGGAGAAGAAGCCCCGGCUAACUUCGUGCCAGCAGCCGCGGUAAUACGAAGGGGGCUAGCGUUGUUCGGAAUUACUGGGCGUAAAGCGCACGUAGGCGGAUAUUUAAGUCAGGGGUGAAAUCCCGGGGCUCAACCCCGGAACUGCCUUUGAUACUGGGUAUCUGGAGUAUGGAAGAGGUAAGUGGAAUUCCGAGUGUAGAGGUG